rnacentral:rRNA from 1 species
GACGAACCGUGCGAACGUUGUUCGGAAUCACUGGGCUUAAAGGGCGCGUAGGCGGGCUGACAAGUCUGGGGUGAAAUCCCACGGCUCAACCGUGGAACUGCCUUAGAUACUGUCGGCCUCGAGGAAGGUAGGGGCAUGCGGAACUAACGGUGGAGCGGUGAAAUGCGUUGAUAUCGUUAGGAACUCCGGUGGCGAAAGCGGCGUGCUGGACCUUUUCUGACACUGAGGCGCGAAAGCCAGGGGAGCGAACGGG